rnacentral:lncRNA from 1 species
AGUCAUGGUGGAAAAGAUGGUCUUUUAGUAAGACUCAUAAGCCUGGCUGGCCCAUGUGGAAACUUAAGCCUCGCAUACUGUUUUAGAAAUACAAUGGGAGUAUUGUAAUUAAUGGACAGGAUUUGUAUAGAAAAACAUGUUGGUUAAACUUUAUUACCAUGAUCGAUCAUUAUGAUGCAUAGAACAAUAAUUAAUAUAGGAUGAGAACUUACCCUCUUAGCACUAAAGAACAAAGGCCAAACUCCUCUCUUCUCUCCAAGAGUGAAUUUGAAUGGGAGUGACCUUAGGGUUUUGCAAUUGUGAGAAAAAAGAAACCCGAA